UUUGUGCAACUCAUGCGUUGAGUCAAAAUCCAUCAACCCAACAUACAUCGGUUGACCCAGCACUUGGGUUGUUUGUGCUUCGAACGUCAUCAGAUCAUCACCAGAGUCCACACACCGAGCGCUUGUCACAGCAGAGAACCAGUCUGGUCAUCCAACGAGGCAAAUAAAUAAUAAAAGAUCAAUGGAUAGCUUUGUCAUUAACACUUUGACAGAGUGCCAGACCUUGUCGAAAGAUUUAAAAGCUUCCAUGUAAUAUGUCAAAGUGACUCCAAUAGAUGAAUAGAGCCGGCCACUGGAUUCCUGGAGGAAAGGCUGCGGAACGUCAGGAAGCGGCUGAGAUCAACCAGCAGGUCGCAGAGCACGGCACAGACACCACCACAAACGCCAGAUGAUGGCGCUCUUGCAAGGGCUCUCA